rfam:Microsporum canis CBS 113480 supercont1.17 mitochondrial scaffold, whole genome shotgun sequence.
GGGUUAGUAACUUAAUUGGCAAAGGAUUUUCUUGUCGAGAAAAUAGAUAUCGGAUCGUAGCCGAUUUAACCCG